GCCGAAGUGGUGGAAUUUGGUAGACACGCCAUCUUGAGGGGGUGGUGGGCGACGCCCGUGCGGGUUCAAAUCCCGCCUUCGGCACCA
rnacentral:tRNA from 1 species